rnacentral:lncRNA from 1 species
UGAAAUCAAGAAUGACCAUCAAGUACGAAAAUUAGUCAUUUGGCAACUCAGAGUAAAACGGUACAUAAAGACCCGCAGGAGAGUUUGCUAACACUAGUGUGGGUCAGGAAGUCACACUGCACCUACGAGAUGAAGAAUCCAAUUGUUCUUUUCUUCUUCGCGGUUUUCGCGAUGCUGAACUCCGCUUUGCCUCUCGAGUAUGCCUACGGCGGUCACAAAUAUAACGGCUGAGGGCACAGUUUCACCCUUGACAACUCCUGAAGCUUGAAAUGACGCUCAUGUGCAAAUUUUUUGUCCAAAAUUGGAGUAUGUCUAAUGGAAAUAUACUGGUAUAAUCAUAUCCUUUCAUUUGUUUUUCUUUUAAACCAAAUAUUCAAGAAUAAGAGAUGUUUAAAAUCAGCCUGGUUUACAGUAUUGCAAUAUUGCUUUUAUCUUAGUGUUAUGCAUAUGAAUGUUUGAAUACAUAUAUAUAAGCAUAUAUAUAUACUUAGACGCAUAAUGUCGAAAAUAUAAGCCUCGGGUUUGUACAGUGGUAACGUGCCGGCCUCUCAUCCGAGGGGUCGGCAGUUCGCGCCCCGCCCAGGCACGAGAAGUAGCAAUUGUCGCCUGGAAGUUACUACUGUGGCUAGGCACCACUGCGGGUAAGGACUAAGCCGAGUCAGCACCAGCUGAUACACGUUAGCGAGUCGACAUUAGUCGACACAGGCCGGGCUCCACUUAUUGGCAUAGCCCGGGCGAAGCUCAGCUUCGCAUAUCGGACUUAUCCUUAUGUCGAAACUAUGAAAAUGACACGGUCUUAAAAAUAGAGAAUAUAUAGGAGUAAAAUGACCAUCAGAGGUCUCAGUGGCUUGCAAUUUGCAUAUCAGAUCUUCAUAUAUUUGCAACAAUUCUCUUCGUCCUGUCAUUAUAAUCAACUCGCCAAUUUCUAGCUCCUCGGUAUUGUUCAUGUAUUGUAAUAGCUGCGUUACAGCAGAAACUUGAUAAUAUAUGUGUGUAUGUAUAUGUAUAGACAUACACACAUAUCUGUCUAUAUGUGUAUAUAUAUGUAUAUGAAUAUAAAUACAAAUAUUUAUUUUUCUUUUUCAUAGACAAAUCAGUAUGCAUACACAUUUACUUGUAUCGUCGAUUGCUAUUGUGAAUUUUGCAUUGCAAUGGCAAACUGUGAAUCAAUGGAAAAAAUUAAGGAACCCAUAAUCACUUUUUUUUUAUUGAGACUUGAUCAUGUUUGGAAAAGAGAAUCUCUUCUAGGAAGGUACAGAGGUUCAGGUGGUAAGUCUUGUCAUAGGUGUUUACUACAGCGGACAAGGACAGGGUUCCCUGAAGCACGCGCAUGGAAUACUGCCUAAAGGGUAAACAAGAAAGAUAUGCCGUUAUCAUGUGCACGGUACAUAUAAGACACGUGUCCCCACUCCCAUUUCUUCUGCCCCAUUAUUUUGCGGCAAAUCUUUUCAUUGAAAGGAUCCGGUUGAAAUGUUGAACACGUAUAUAUACACACAUACACAUACAUAUUUGUGCAUAUAUAUCUAUAUCUAUCAAUAUGUCUAGUUUCUCGUCCCUCUCGUGUCCAUCAGAGCCAACCGUCUCAGUCUUAAAUCUGCCACAGUUAAACUUUUCUCGGUUUUAAACACGUGUCCGAGAACAAUAGCCGUUAAUCUGCGCAGAUAUGACUGUACCAACACAUGCGCUAACCCCAUUCCGACGGUUUCAUAUCAGACACUGACGUAUUCAUGAAUAUGACAAAUAUUUAGGAACUGGAGCGUGUGUUUGCUCAGAAACAAGAGGAAGUCAAAAUAACUGAUGGAUUGGCGCCUUUCCAGCCCCCCCCCCCCAAAAAAAAAAAAAAAAAAAAUUGUCAUUUGGCAACCCAGAGUAAGACAUGGUACAUAAAAUCCCACAGGAGAGUUUGCUAACACUAGUGUGGGUCAGGAAGUCACACUGCACCUCCGAGAUGAAGAAUCCAAUUGUUCUUUUCUUCUUCGCGGUUUUCGCGAUGCUGAACUCCGCUUUGCCUCUCGAGUAUGCCUACGGCGGUCACAAAUAUAACGGCUGAGGGCACAGUUUCACCCUUGACAACUCCUGAAGCUUGAAAUGACGCUCAUGUGCAAAAUUUUUGUCCAAAAUUUGAGUAUGUCUAAUGGAAAUAUACUGGUAUAAUCAUA